UUUAACAUGAGAGUUUGAUCCUGGCUCAGGAUGAACGCUGGCGGCGUGCCUAACACAUGCAAGUCGAACGAAGCAUCCCUUCCGAUGAAUGGACCAGCUUGCUGGGAAAGGAAUCAAUUGGGAUGACUGAGUGGCGGACGGGUGAGUAACGCGUGGGUAACCUGCCCCAUAGAGGGGGACAACAGCUGGAAACGGCUGCUAAUACCGCAUAGCAGGAAAGAGACGCAUGUCUUUUUCUUCAAAGAUUUAUCGCUAUGGGAUGGACCCGCGUCUGAUUAGCUAGUUGGUAAGGUAACGGCCUACCAAGGCGACGAUCAGUAGCCGGCUUGAGAGAGUGGACGGCCACAUUGGGACUGAGACACGGCCCAGACUCCUACGGGAGGCAGCAGUGGGGAAUAUUGCACAAUGGG
rnacentral:rRNA from 1 species